rnacentral:lncRNA from 1 species
CUGCAUAUCACCAUCAUUUUCCCCCUGAUGAUGCAUUUUGGAACUAUUUAUUUUCUUUAUCGAAAUUGAAUCUCCAUAAUAUGGAAAGUAUACCAAAUUUUGCUGAGUUUGGCCGAACAGAUUCUUGGCUAUUGGACUUUAAACAUCUCCUCUUUAAUUAUGGCCAUCCUAUAUAUGCAUGCUGCAUUCUCUUUGUACUAAUAGUGUGUCCUAUAAUAGUGGCUGGAUGCACCAUAUUUAUUUCUAAAAUUGGGUAUUUCUUCUUGAUUAUAUUAUAUUAUUAAAAAUAUGUGGAUGUAUGUUCAUAU